UUAUAUGGUCAAGAAGAGAAGCGCAAACGGUGGAUGCCUUGGCAGUAAGAGGCGAAGAAGGACGUGGAAUCCUGCGAAAAGCUAUGGGGAGCUGGAAACGAGCGUUGAGCCAUAGAUGUCCGAAUGGGGGAACCCGGCUGCAGCGAUGCGGUCAUUUGCAUUUGAAUACAUAGGAUGCAAAGGCGAACUCGGGGAACUGAAACAUCUAAGUACCCGAAGGAAAAGAAAUCAAGAGAGAUUCUCCAAGUAGCGGCGAGCGAACGGGGAGGAGCCUGGCGUGAUUUAUUAUUGAACUGAGUAGAACAAUUUGGGAAAGUUGGCGAUAGAGGGUGAAAGCCCCGUAUACGAAGGUUUGAUGAGGAACUAGGCACGCGAACAAGUAGGCCGGGACACGUGAAAUCCUGGUUGAAGAUGGGUGGACCAUCAUCCAAGGCUAAAUACUACUUACUGACCGAUAGUGAACCAGUACCGUGAGGGAAAGGUGAAAAGAACCCCGGAGAGGGGAGUGAAAUAGAAUCUGAAACCGUUUGCGUACAAGCAGUGGGAGCAUGGUUUAGGCUGUGUGACUGCGUACCUUUUGUAUAAUGGGUCAGCGAGUUACUUUCAGUGGCGAGGUUAACUGCAUAAGGGAGCCGUAGAGAAAUCGAGUCUGAAUAGGGCGAUAGUCGCUGGGAGUAGACCCGAAACCGGGCGAUCUAGCCAUGUGCAGGAUGAAGGUUGGGUAACACCAACUGGAGGUCCGAACCGGGUAAUGUUGAAAAAUUAUCGGAUGACGUGUGGCUAGGAGUGAAAGGCUAAUCAAGCCCGGAGAUAGCUGGUUCUCCCCGAAAGCUAUUUAGGUAGCGCCUCGUGAAUGAUUACUGGGGGUAGAGCACUGUUUCGGCUAGGGGGCUGUCAUGGCUUACCAAACCGAUGCAAACUCCGAAUACCGGCUAAUUGAAUCACGGGAGACACACGGCGGGUGCUAACGUCCGUCGUGGAGAGGGAAACAACCCAGACCGCCAGCUAAGGUCCCCAAGUACUAGUUAAGUGGGAAACGAUGUGGGAAGGCAUAGACAGCCAGGAGGUUGGCUUAGAAGCAGCCACCCUUUAAAGAAAGCGUAAUAGCUCACUGGUCGAGUCGGCCUGCGCGGAAGAUGUAACGGGGCUAAAACUAGUCACCGAAGCUGCGGAUGUGCGCGAAGGCGCACGUGGUAGGGGAGCGUUCUGUAGGCUGAUGAAGGUGCAUUGAGAAGUGUGCUGGAGGUAUCAGAAGUGCGAAUGCUGACAUGAGUAACGAUAAUGUGGGUGAAAAGCCCACACGCCGGAAGUCCCAGGUUUCCUGCACGACGUUAAUCGGAGCAGGGUGAGUCGGCCCCUAAGGCGAGGCUGAAGAGCGUAGUCGAUGGGAACCAGGUUAAUAUUCCUGGACUUUUUAUAAGUGGUGAAGUGGGGACGAAGAAGGCUAGGUGAGCCAGGCGUUGGUUGUCCUGGUACUUGCAUGUAGGGGGGAAGACUUGGCAAAUCCGGUUUUCCAUAACUCUGAGGUGCGAAGUGGUUCUGACCUUUUGGUACAGAGAAGUCAUUGAUGCCCGGCUUCCAGGAAAAGCUGCUAGCCAUAACUUAUAGAGAACCGUACCGCAAACCGACACAGGUGGACAGGUAGAGAAUACUAAGGCGCUUGAGAGAACUCGGGUGAAGGAACUAGGCAAAAUGGUACCGUAACUUCGGGAGAAGGUACGCCCUUUCUGGUGAUGGGAUUUACUUUC
rnacentral:rRNA from 1 species